AAUUAGUUGGACAGUAAUCUUUGAUUGCUAUUACUUCCUUUGCAUUUCCAAAGGAUGUGGGAUUGUCAACCAGCAAGGCACUAGGAGAAGGCACUUUGACAUCGCACAGGCUGCUUUCUGAGAAGCCCUCGCUGAGGUCGAUGAGCGUCCCCUCCGACUUGCAGCGCAGCAGGCCGCUGGAGUUGGCUGCCCGGAUCCUCUGUGCCGCCAUCUUGAGCUCGUCGAGAGCCUGGGCAGCGCUAGGUGGGCAUGGCUCCUCCACAGACCCACAG
rnacentral:lncRNA from 1 species